rnacentral:lncRNA from 1 species
GUCCUUAUUAAGGAAUAAUUUUUAGUAUAUAAUUAGAGACCUACAUCUUCUAAAUUGUGUUCCUGUUACUUACUAGGAACUGAAUUUCUCAAAAGUGCUAAACUAUAUCAAAUUUUUUUAUAAAGAGAUUUUUGGAUUGAUAUAAAUAAGCAUUUACUAUGUUGUAAAUCAUUCUAAUAUAUGUAAACCACAAUAUUUUUGUAAUGCAGUCCUUGAUAUUAUCUAAUGUUAAUUUUUUUCAUAGCUGCUAAUUUUUCAGCCAAAAGUAUUCUAAUUUUUAGGCUGUUUUUUUAUUAAAGGCUUUUUUCUUUCAAAAGUCCUUUAGUAAAGUUUUAAAUUCAAGUCAUUUUUUUCUACUUGAUGUUUUCCAGUCUUUUUAACCAGAUGUAAUACGGCAGAAUUGUUAAAAUUAAAUCUAAAGUUAUAGACUUAGAAGCAUUAUGGAGUUAAGCAUUAAAAUUGGAGAUUAAAAUGUACAGAACAGGUUUUUCUUUAUGAACAAACCUUAAUGGAUACAUUUUUUUCUAAAUGUCAAGUUAAAUUUAUUUGUACUCCAAACUCUUACGAAUAAAAAUUU